CUUGGAUGGCAAAGAGUCAGGCAGAGAGCAGAAGGAGUAGAGAGUGGACAAUCAGGGGUUUGACAACUGCUGACUGUUUUGGGAAAGAUGACCUUGAAAGGGAUGCCUCUCAACAGGGUCAGUGGAUAUGAUUCUGAAUGGCCAAUAGAAACAAAUGCUCCAAAAAUACAAAGAAGAGCAACUCCCCCAAAUCAAAAGGACAAUGAGAGAAAGCCAAACCAGGAAUGUCCAAAGUGGGUCUCCACCAACCUGCUAUGCUUCCCUCCCGGCAAGACCAGAGGAGUGUGAAAACCAAACCAGAGAAGGAGUUACUGUGGGCACCCACCAUCUCCUCUCAUUGGAGAAUUCAGACUAGCUUCUACAGAGCAGAGAAAAUGCCUUCUUCUGACUGAAGUACAAGUGUGGAGUGCGGGGAUGGUGAAGGU
rnacentral:lncRNA from 1 species